ensembl:scaRNA small Cajal body-specific RNA 4
GCUAGAGGACCCAAGAAGGCUGAGUCUGAUGAAGCAAGACUUUGCUGAUACAUUCCUAGACAGAGUGGUAGAGAGAGCAGCCCUUAUAGGAGAAAGCCACAGGGCUGACUGUACUACCCAACGUUU